rnacentral:lncRNA from 1 species
GAUUUGGCCUAUGAGCUCUCGAGCUUCCUUCCCGAAGAGGAGAAAUCUCCUUCUUUUAUAGCCUCUGUCGACCCCUGUUAUCUCAUCACGUCGUGGGAAGAUAAGGGCCAAGAAACUGACACGGGCGAGACGCGUAGCAGAUUUAAUCCGGGCGUUGGGAUUAUAGUCUGGAAACUGAUUUCGUUGAAGAAGUCGGUUGCUCCCUUGGAUGCAGAGGAUGGCGAAGACGUGGAUGUUGAGAGGAUCUCAGACGCUGCUAGCUCAUGGGAUGAGUGGAAGAAAUCGCCACUUCUUCAACGCGUGGGAGGAGAUCUUGGAUGCGGCUGGCAGCUGGGAGUUGACCGCGGAUGAGAUGAAGGCUGGCUUGGGCUUAUCCAUGGGUGAUGGAAAGCUAGAUUCAGUUGGGAACAGGGGAGCUGGAAUGGAUGCGGAUGGAACGCGGAGGUGGUUGAAUGCUGUCACUGGGUUGAAUCACGGGAGGGGUUUGGAUUCGGCUGGGAUUUUUUUCGAAACAGGGGAGGAGCACGUGAAGCUCGGAUGCUGGGAACAAACGCGUAGGUUGGCUUGAUCCGAGGAUGCAGAUGAUGGCGUGGAUGUUGAGAAUAUCCUGGUUCUGUUCCCGUGGCUGGGGUCAAUCUGAAUGCUGGGAAGGCGUUGGAUUUGGUUUGGAAGAAGAUAAGGAUGAUAGUUUCGAAGCAGGGGAUGGCUGGGAGUUAAUCCGGAAGGGGAGUUCUAAUCCGUGGAUGCUAGAGAUCAAGCUGGUUUGGAUUUGGAAGAGAAAAUAUGGAAUACAUGCUGUGACACAAGUGGAUCUCAUCCGGAAGUUGGGGAAGAUGGAAUGAACGAGCUGGCUCUGUUUUGCAAGCUGGGAUGUUGGGAUCUCUUGCAUGCAUCACUGGAGGAUUGGGCAUGGCGGACGGCUGGGAGGCUUGGGAUUUGAAGGUUGGCAGCUGAGAUAUAACGGAGCAGGGGAUGCGGAAGGGAUUGAUCGAAAUAUGAAGCUUGGGACUCGGCUUGAUUCGAACGGGUGAAGAAAUCAGGGGAGAGAAGUUGGGAUCUCGGCUGACAGCUGGGAACGGAUGCAAGGCUGGAAGAUGAACACGGAGUUCGGGAGGAUGAAGCAGCUGGCAUCAAGGGAUUUUGUUUGGACACGGGAUGAAGAAUGCCUGGUGAGGUGAAGGAAGAUUUGAUGGCUGGGAGUGGUUUCUGGGAUGCGACGUUCACGGAGGAGAAUAUCAUGGGAGAGACGUUGGGAGGAUCAACGUGGAGGAGAUGACGGAGAACAGGGGAUGUUUCGAUUCUGGAUGAAUGUCGUGGAACAAGGGAGUUGGAAAGGAUUCGUAAAAUCUGGGACUUGGAAUUCGAUCAAACGCGGACGCUGGGAUGUUUGGUAGAGAGACGUGGAGGGAAUGUGAAGGGAUGGAUGGAUGACGUGGGAAGAAGGGGAGGGGACUCAAUUUGGGAUGCACGGAGAUUCGUGAAAGGAAUUUGUUCGGGAUGAGCUCAACGACCGAAUCAGAAUUUGAGAGGAUUUAAUUUGCGGGGUGCAUACGAUUUGGGUUCAGGGAUCAUCCCAAAUAAGUUUGACUUGACCUGCAUUCAUUAAGCUUAAUCAGUAAAUAAGUAAAACUCGAAUAAUUUAUUAAAAUGCAAUAAUGAAGAUAACACAUUUUUUAGUUGAAUUUACAAAAUAUGUGAAUUAAAAUAAUGAUAAGUGCUAUGAAUAAUAUAUUAAUUUAUGCUUUAUUUAGCACUUAUCACACCCCCAAACCUACCUUUUGCUAGUCCUCAAGUAAAAUAAAAAAAACUAACUCACUUUCGCAGGAAUCGCGAUUGCAUUUACCGUAUGCAAUAAGGCUUUAAACCCCUAGGUGGCCCUUGUGGACGAAUUUUGUCUCGUGAGGAUUUUCGGCUCAGAUACCCACAAACUGCUGUCCCUACCUAAAGAAUUUAUUUUACUAUUUUAUGAAAUCUGAUUUCAAAUGCAUAAGUACCAAUAAUUUCAAAAGCACACAAAAUUUUAAUUACUAAGUCAACCCAAAUCCUAGGUCAAGAUGCAACUUAAGUUGAAGUUAUUAAGUUUCCGUUAGAGAGUUGUAAGACUUAUUUAUACUUGGAUGCUCGGUGAUAUCUGGGCCAUACACAAGCUAAGACUUUAGAUCCCCAAAAUACUGCUAAAGCUAGUAGUUUCCAAGAAUUGGUCAGAUAAGACCUAACCACUGAUUCAAAAUCAUCCUAUCUUGCAGGAUUUCGAGAGUUGUAGAUAUUUACUUUAAUACCUUAUGGGCUUUAUCUGUAAUAUUCCAGUUUACUCGAAUUUUUACAACGACGGCUUUCACACUAUUAUCUUUUUCAAGAUCAAUAUUAUUUUCUCUUUCUUUUUUUUGUAUAAAUAAAUUAUGCACUUUUACUCUUGUAAUGAUUCCUCCGUGUAGCGAGCAUUCAGUCAGCACUCCCACACCAGAUGGCAUAAGGUGUUGGGCAUCAAGACUCCCCUACGGACCUAUGCUCGGGUUCAUCAUCACAAGCCCGCCGACCUUUGACAAUAGGUAGCCCUUUUCGAUGUACCUGACUAAAUUCACUUCUUUUUUUAAAAAAAUAAAUAAAUAUGGGAUAAUAGUGAAUUAGAUAGGUAUGAUUCAUCAGGACUCAAGGUUGCUACCAGACUUAAUCAACAUAAUGUUGAACCUAACCCUUAGAAGUGCAGGCCAUGUGUGUUGUGAAAUUCCAAAGUAAAAAUUAUCUUACAACUCGCUAAAAGAACUUUUAAUAAAAAGAACUCAAAUUGUCUUACUCCUGAAUAGUCAUUGGGCUUUUUUAGAUUUUAUAUACUUCGUGUGUUUAUCAUGUCAGCACUAAGGCAUAGAAAUUAGGUUUUUUUUUUUUGAAAAAUGUCUUCAAAAAAUGCGAAAAUGCGAAAAAUUUCUUCAAAAAUUUGAAUCCUAUACCCCUCAACCUAGAUCAGACAUUGUCCUCAAUGUUUUUUUUUAAUAUUAUAUUAUUAUAAUUUUUUUUCGUUAUUUUAUUUUGGACGAAAAUAUGAUGCAUAUGGAGGAUAGAAGCAUUGUACCUUAGUUGCAUCAGUAAUAUGAGGACAUCUGAAAAAAUGCGACAAGAAAAUGUACAAAAAUAACCUAUGAAAAUUGGGUUGCCUCCCAACAAGCGCUAAGUUUAACGUCUUCAGCCAGACGCAGUGCAUCCUUAAUUAUCCCAAUAAAUAGGAUCCAUUAAAUCAAGGAAUUCAAUCAACUGUCCAUCUGCAACACACUAUAUGUAAGGUUUUAAUCUUUGACCAUUGACGUUCAGGACACGACCAUCACUAAUGUUCUAAAUUUCUACCGCACCAUGAGGAAAAACCUUCCUAACUAAAAAGGGACCAUCCCACCUAGAGCAAAGUUUACCAGGGAAGAGACGCAAUUUAGAAUUGAAUAGCCAAAUCUUUUGAUUAGGCUCGAAAGACUUACGGUUAAUGGAUUUGUCAUGAAAAGCCUUAGUCCUUGCCUUGUAAAUUUUGGCAUUUUCAUAUGCCUCAUUGCGUAACUCUUCGAGCUCGUUGAGUUGAAGUUUCCGGUUAGAACCAGCUGCUGCCAUAUCAAAGUUAAACUUUUUAAUGGCCCAAAAAGCUCUAUGCUCAAGUUCUAUGGGUAAGUGGCAAGCUUUUCCAAAAAUCAGUCGAUAAGGAGACAUGCCAAUAGGAGUCUUAUAGGCAGUACGAUAAGCCCAGAGAGAAUCGUUUAAUCUUUGAAACCAAUCUUUCCUAUCAGGGCGUAUUGUUUUUUCUAAGAUGUGUUUUAUCUCCCUAUUGGAAACUUCAACUUGUCCGCUUGUUUGGGGAUGGUACGGGGUGGCAACUUUGUGGGUGAUUGAAUACUUGCGAACCAAAGCCUCAAAAGACCGAUUGCAGAAAUGUGAUCCCCCAUCACUAAUGAUAGCUCGGGGUGUGCCAAAGCGACUAAAUAUAUUUGUUUGUAAAAACUUAACCACAACCUUAUGAUCAUUAGUCCUAGUGGCAACUGCUUCUACCCACUUCGAGACAUAGUCAACCCCGACAAGAAUGUACUCAAAAUCAAAAGAACAUGAGAAAGGACCCAUAAAGUCAAUACCCUAGACAUCAAAAAUUUCUAUAAUUAAAAUGGGGUUGAGUGGCAUCAUAUCUCUACGGGUGAUUGUACCCAUUCGCUGGCAUCGCUCACAAAUUCGACAAAAAUUGUGAGCAUUUUUGAACAAGGAGGGCCAAUAGAAUCCACUUUGUAAGACUUUAGCUGCAGUUUUUCUACCCCCAAAAUGUCCUCCGCAGGCUUGGGUAUGAUAAAAAUCAAGAAUACUCUGAAAUUCACAUUCAAGCACACAUCGACGGAUUACUUAAUCGGGACAGUACUUGAACAGAUCGGGGUCAUCCCAAAAGUAGAACUUAACUUGCGAAAAGAAUCGAUCCUUGUCCUGCUUGGACCAAUGAUCGGAAAUUUGUCCUAUGACAAGAUAGUUUACUAUGUUGGCAAACCAUGGUAUUUUUUCUUGUUGCACUUUAAACAAUUGUUCAUCUGGAAAGGAGUCAUGAAGUGGGGAAGUGCUAUGAGAAGGCUCGAGAAGGAUUCUAGACAAAUGGUCUGCUACAACAUUUGUGGUACCUUUCUUAUUACGAAUUUCUAGAUUGAAUUCCUGUAACAACAGGAUCCAUCGAAUUAGACGAGGCUUGGUGUCCUUCUUUGAAAGGAGGUACCGAAGAGCAGAAUGAUCAGUGAAUACAAUAAUCUUGGAUCCUAAGAGAUAGGAUCGAAACUUGUCCAAAGCAAACACUAUAGCUAGUAAUUCUUUCUCAGUAGUGGUGUAGUUCAAUUGCGCAUCUGAGAGUGUCUUACUAGCGUAGUAGAUGACAUGAGGUAACUUCUCUAGCCGUUGCCCUAAAACCGCCCCAAUGGCAUAGUUAGAAGCAUCACACAUGAGUUCAAAUGGAAGGUCCAAUUGGGAGGUUGUAUGACAGGUGUUGUAGACAACUUAGAUCGAAGUUUUUCAAAGGCCUCUUUACAUGCUUCAUCAAAGACAAAGGGUGUAUCCUUGGCAAGAAGAUUGCACAAGGGUCUAGAGAUUUUGCUGAAGUCUUUAAUGAAACGACAGUAAAAACCAGCAUGGCCUAGAAAAGAACGGAUUUGUUUCACAGAUUUGGGUGGAGGAAAAUUAGAAAUAAGAUCAACUUUUGCUUUAUCUACCUCAAUACCCCUUUUGGACACAAUGUGUCCCAAGACUAUACCCUCUUGAACCAUGAAAUGACUCUUUUCCCAACUCAGCACUAGAUUGGUCUCCUUACAUCUUUUCAGAACCAGGGCUAAAUUACUGAGAUAAUCAUCAAAUGAGGGGCUAAAACUAAAAAAUCAUCCAUGAAUACUUCCAGAAAUUUUUCUACCAUGUCAGAGAAAAUUGCCAUCAUGCAUCGUUGAAAUGUCGCGGAUGCAUUGCAGAGUCCAAAUGGCAUUCUUCUAUACGCAAAUGUCCCAAAUGGAUAUGUGAAAGUGGUUUUCUCUUGAUCAUCGGGAUACACGGCCAUUUGGUUAUAUCCUAAAUAACCAUCUAAGAAACAGUAGAAACCCUGACCGGCUAACCUUUCCAAUAUUUGGUCAAUAAAAGGCAAAAGAAAAUGGUCCUUCCUAGUCAUGGAGUUUAAGUUCCUGUAGUCAAUGCAAACACGCCAGCUAGUGGUCGUGCGUGUGGGCAUCAACUCUCCUUCUGCAUUUUCAACCACAGUAAUGCCCGACUUCUUUGGUACUAUUUGAGUCGGACUCACCCAGUUGCUAUCAGAGAUAGGAUAAAUGAUUACGGCAUCUAGUAACUUUACUACUUCUUUCUUGACCACCUCUUUCAUGUUAGGGUUGAGUCUCCUUUGCAUUUCACGAGUCGGUUUUGCAUCUUCUUCUAGGUGAGUGCGAUGCAUGCAAAUAGAUGGGUCAAUCCUCUUUAGGUCAGUGAAGGACCAUCCAAUUGCAUGUUUGUGUUCUCCGAGUAUACUCAAAAGUUGACUCUCCUGUUUGUUAGACAGAUCAGCCGCGAUAAUUACAGGUAGGGUAUCUUCGGAUCCUAGAAAAGCAUACUUAAGGUUACCGAAAGUGGAUUUAACUCAAGUUUGGGAGGAGACUCGAUGGAGGGGCACUGUGGCGCACUAGAAAGGGUAGGAAGAGGUUCAUAUCAGAUACGCCAAGGAUGAGAAUUUGUGAGAGACGGAUUGUCAAGUAGGACAUUGACUUCUUCUACGGCCUUGUUUAAAUCAAAAUUAUCAAUGUCAAAAUGGGCUAAACAUGCUUCCAAAGGGUCAUCUGCCAGAAUAUAGGGAAGGGCUUCUUCUAAAAGGUUGUUCAUUUUGUCUACUAGGAAGCACUCAUCUUUCCUUGCGGGUUGAUCAGAGGCGUGGAAUACAUUCAGUUUGACUUUCAUGUUUCCAAAGGAUAUAUCCAUCAUCCCAGUUCUACAGUUAAUACAUGCAUUGGCUGCAGCUAAGAAGGGACGACCAAGAAUCAUAGGGAUCUGUUUCUUGAGAUUAGGCACAGGUUCCAUAUCAAGGACGAUGAAAUCAACUGAAAAAUAAAAUUUAUCUACCUUGACUAGAACAUCUUCUAUUAUUCCUCGCGGUAUUUUAACAGAUCGAUCAGCCAAUUGCAGGGACACCGAAGUAGGCUUUAAUUCACCUAAUCUGAACUUCUCGUAGACUGAAUAAGGAAGGAGGUUAACACUUACCCCUAAAUCUAAUAGUGCUCGAUCAAUAGAAUUGUCUCCUACCACACAAGAGAUGGUAGGUGCACCAGGAUCCUUGAACUUAGGAGGAAUUUUGUGUUGGAGGAUGGAGCUCACUUGUUCAGCUAGGAAGACCUUUUUAGGCACAUGUGUCCUAGAUUUUCGUUUCUGGGUACAAAGGUCUUUGAAAAAAUUUGGCAUACGAUGGAACUUGUUUUAUGGCAUCAAGGAGAGGGAGGUUGAUUUUGACUUGUUUGAAUACCUCUAUUAUUUCUUCCAACGAAGUUCCUUUCUUGCCAAAGGAAGAAGGUGCAUUCAGACACUGAGGGAAAGGAGCCUUCGGUGUAAAAGGUGUGGUCGAUACUGGACUAGAUGGCGACAAAGACGAGUUUGGGUUCUCUUUAGGCACAGUCAUACUCCUGUCUUCAUUUUCUUUAUGUUCUUUUUCUCCAACCUUAUUGUCCACUACGCUUCCGCUUCUUAAGGUAGUCAUGGCAUUAGCUUGUUCAUGGUGAACAUCAUUCGGGUGAGUCUCUUGAGCCAUGUACUGCCCUCUCGGGUUACUGACUGGUUGGCUUGGAAGCUUGCCUUCCUCUCUUUUAUUUAGUGCACUCGCUAGCUGCCCUAGCUGGGUUUCUAAUUUGGCAAUAGACUGGGUAUGGAAGUGCAACAAUUGUGUAUUGGCUUCGAGUCCUUGAAGGGCAGUCAAAACUUUUUGCUCAAAAGCCAUAUCUUUUUGGGAUGCUGGAGGAGGGACAUGUUGAAAUUGUGAAUAGUGAGUAGGAGGACGGUUCGGAUGAACAUUCUGGAACGGUUGAAAGUUUUGGGAAUAAGGCUGGGAGGUAUUGAAAGUCUGCUGCUUCCAAGAUAAAUUUGGAUGGUUGCGCCACCCCGAGUUUUAAGUGUUAGAAUACAGAUCAUUAUCCGGUUGGGACUGUGCUUGGGCAGCAUUAACUUGUUCUUGCACAAAUUCAGAAAAUUGAGCUGCCGAAGGGCAUUCAUGAAUAGGGUGAGACGGGCUAGAACAAAGAGCACAAACUUGUGCUUGGGGAAAGUUUAGAAGCUAUUCUCUAGACAUUAGCUGGUCCAACUUGCGGGAUAGUGCAUCUACUUGUCAGAUAGACCUGUGGACUGGUUAACUUCAUAUAUGGUUCCUUUUCUUUGAGAACUCGGGGGUGCUUGACGAGCGGAGGCGGCAUGGUGGAGGAAAUUUUCAUUAAGGUUUUCAAACAAUUACCAUGCCUCAUGGUCACUUUUAAGCAUGAAAGUUCCCCCGCAUGCGGCAUCGAUCAUCUGACGGUUUCGUUCAGUCAAUUCGUCAUAGAAACAUUGCACUAGCUGCCAUUUAGGUAUUUGAUGAUGCAGGCAUUUUCGGAGUAAAUCUCUAAAUUUUUCCCAAGUUUCAUGAAAUUCUUUUCCGUCAGAUUAGGAGAAGCUCGUGAUAGCACGCCUAAAUUGGUUUGUUCUUCCUAUGGAAAAAUAUUUCUUCAGAAAUUCAUGUUGCAUUUGAGCCCAUGAAAGAAUGGAAUUAGCUUCUAAUGAAUGGAGCCACUGUUUAGCUCUGUCCUUAAGGGAGAAAGGGAACAACCUAAGUUUCAGAGCAUCAUCAGUGAAGUUCUGAAUUUUGACAGUGGUGCAAAUCUCAAGGAACUCAUCUAAAUGUUUGUAUGGGUCUUCAUUAUUGAGUCCAUAAAAAGAGGAAAGCAUUUGGAUGACACUAGACUUAAUUUCAAAUUAUACAGUCGCAGUGGUAUCAGGUAGUCGAAUACAAGAUGGAGAGGUAUAAAUGGAAGGAGUAAAGUACUCCUUUAACAGCUUGGGUUGCUCUUCAGCCAUCUCGAUAGGUGGGGCAGAUCCUAUGGUUCUAUAGGUGCGGAUUUCGGCUCGAAGGGUCCUAAUAGAACGCUCUAUUUUAGGGUCAAAAGGUAUUAAUUUCGGAGAUCUGGAACGAUACCCUAGCAUGCACUAAAACUCUUCUGAUCAGUCAAGCAUGCAUUAAAAGAAUAACACAUCAAAUCCUUGUAUUUGCCCUAAAAUCACUAGAUAGCUCCUAACUGGUUUGAAGAGGGCACCUAAGCCUCCAAUCCGGUCUAAUGAACUGAGUUGACCAGAUAAGCUCCCAGGUAAGUGGGGGGGUCACGAUGCGUUGCAAAGGUCCCACUUAAAAACCACUUGCCUCGAACAGAUGAACUGUCUCCCUUAUAGGGACAAAGCUUGCCUAGACAUCAACUGAGCCACAGAGAGAAAUUGGUGUAACUUUCGGUGAUUUUCGUCCUAUUGAGCUCGAAUGUCCCUAGGGGCCAACGUCUAAUUAAUUUUAAUUAAGGUAAUAGCUAUGUGANNNNNNNNNNNNNNNNNNNNUAGGGACAAAGCUUGCCUAGACAUCAACUGAGCCACAGAGAGAAAUUGGUGUAACUUUCGGUGAUUUUCGUCCUAUUGAGCUCGAAUGUCCCUAGGGGCCAACGUCUAAUUAAUUUUAAUUAAGGUAAUAGCUAUGUGAGAAUUGAUUCACCUAAUUUGGGCAAGAAUCUGGUGAUAAAAUCCAGUUCUUAUCUUGUUAGGAUGAUUGCCCUUACUAUGUGCGGAUUAAUUGGUGUAUGUGUAUCAAGCAUGCAUUCACACUUUUGCUGAAAUUAAAAUCAAACAAUCAUCACAAAAUUUCAAGCAAACUGGGAAUCAAUUUAAAUAAGAAAGGUUUAGAGGUUACUAAAGAGAAUUUUCCCAGCGAUUUUUUUUUUAUUUUUAUGCAAACCUCUACAACAUUCCUUUUCCAGCAGUUUCCUUUUUGAUCGUUCCAGAUUUUCUCUUCGAUUCGUGAUCAAAUAAUGCAAAGAGGAAAACCAAAAAUUAGUAAGAGAGAAAAAGAGAUAAGGAAAGUAGAAAAUAUUUUUACUUUAUUUUAGAUAUAUAUAUUUUUUUGAAAAUUUUUUUUUAAUGAAAAGAAAAACAACUAUGCUAGAGAGGAGAUCAGCCUUCCAUGGAGUCGUGGGCGACAGCAGCACUGGCACAGCAGCGGGCUCCCAUUUCUUCUUUUCUUCCUCCCUUCCCUGGAUCUCUCCUUCCUUCUCUAGCAAUUCAUUAUUUUUUUCUUUUGAGAAGGCAUUCCCAAAAAGACCCAAACUUCUCUCCCUCCUCUGUUUCUGUGGGAUUUGGCCUAUGAGCUCCCCAGCUUCCUUUCCGAAGAGGAGAAAUCUCCUUCUUUUAUAGCCUCUGUCGACCCCUGUUAUCUCAUCACGUCGUGGGAAGAUAAGGGCCAAGAAACUAACAAGGGCGAGACGCGUAGCAGAUUUAAUCCGAGCGUUGGGAUUAUAGUCUGGAAAUUGAUUUCGUUGAAGAAGUCGGUUGCUCCCUUGGAUGCAGAGGAUGGCGAAGACGUGGAUGUUGAGAGGAUCUCGGACGCUGCUAGCUCAUGGGAUGAGUGGAAGAAAUCGCCACUUCUUCAACGCGUGGGAGGAGAUCUUGGACGCGGCUGGCAGCUGGGAGUUGACCGCGGAUGAGAUGAAGGCUGGCUUGGGCUUAUCCGUGGGUGAUGGAAAGCUAGAUUCGGUUGGGAACAGGGGAGCUGGAAUGGAUGCGGAUGGAAUGCGGAGAUGGUUGAAUGCUGUCACUGGGUUGAAUCACGGGAGGGGUUUGGAUUCGGCUGGGAUUUUUUUCGAAAUAGGGGAGGCGCACGUGAAGCUCGGAUGCUGGGAACAAACACGUAGGUUGGCUUGAUCCGAGGAUACAGAUGAUGGCGUGGAUGUUGAGAAUAUCCUGGUUCUGUUCCCAUGGCUGGGGUCAAUCCGAAUGCUGGGAAGGCGUUGGAUUUGGUUCGGAAGAAGAUAAGGAUGAUAGUUUCGAAGCAGGGGAUGGUUGGGAGUUAAUCCGGAAGGGGAGUUCUAAUCCGUGGAUGCUAGAGAUCAAGCUGGUUUGGAUUUGGAAGAGAAAAUAUGGAAUACAUGCUGUGACACAAGUGGAUCUCAUCCGGAAGUUGGGGAAGAUGGAAUGAACGAGCUGGCUCUGUUUUGCAAGUUGGGAUGUUGGGAUCUCUUGCAUGCAUCACGGGAGGAUUGGGCAUGGCGGACGGCUGGGAGGCUUGGGAUUUGAAGGUUGGCAGUUGAGAUAUAACGGAGCAGGGGAUGCGGAAGGGAGUGAUCGAAAUAUGAAGCUUGGGACUCGGCUUGAUUCGAACGGGUGAAGAAAUCAGGGGAGAGAA